rnacentral:rRNA from 1 species
AGAACGAACGCUGGCGGCAUGCCUAAUACAUGCAAGUCGAACGAACACUUCGGUGUUAGUGGCGCACGGGUGCGUAACGCGUGGGAAUCUGCCCUUGGGUUCGGAAUAACAGUUGGAAACGACUGCUAAUACCGGGAUGAUAUCGAAAGAUCAAAGAUUUAUCGCCCAGGGAUG